AGCGUUGUUCGGAAUUAUUGGGCGUAAAGGGCUCGUAGGCGGCCAACUAAGUCGGAUGUGAAAUCCCCAGGCUUAACCUGGGAACUGCAUCCGAUACUGGAUGGCUUGAAUUCGGGAGAGGGAUGCAGAAUUCCAGGUGUAGCGGUGAAAUGCGUAGAUAUCUGGAGGAAUACCGGUGGCGAAGGCGGCAUCCUGGACCGAAAUUGACGCUGAUGGGCGAAAGCUAGGGGAGCAAACGGG
rnacentral:rRNA from 1 species